ACAUCCAGAGAACUUAGCAGAGAUGCUUUGGUGGCCUUCGGGAACUCUGAGACAGGUGCUGCAUGGCUGUCGUCAGCUCGUGUUGUGAAAUGUUGGGUUAAGUCCCGNAACGAGCGCAACCCUUAUCCUUUGUUGCCAGCGGUUCGGCCGGGAACUCAAAGGAGACUGCCGGUGAUAAACCGGAGGAAGGUGGGGAUGACGUCAAGUCAUCAUGGCCCUUACGGCCAGGGCUACACACGUGCUACAAUGGCGCAUACAAAGAGAAGCGACCUCGCGAGAGCAAGCGGACCUCAUAAAGUGCGUCGUAGUCCGGAUUGGAGUCUGCAACUCGACUCCAUGAAGUCGGAAUCGCUAGUAAUCGUAGAUCAGAAUGCUACGGUCGAAUACGUUCCCGGGCCUUGUACACACCGCCCGUCACACCAUGGGAGUGGGUUGCAAAAGAAGUAGGUAGCUUAACCUUCGGGAGGGCGCUUACCACUUUGUGAUUCAUGACUGGGGUGAAGUCGUAACAAGGUAAGCGUAGCGAG
rnacentral:rRNA from 1 species